rnacentral:rRNA from 1 species
AUUGAACGCUGGCGGCAGGCCUAACACAUGCAAGUCGAACGAGUGGCGGACGGGUGAGUAAUGUCUGGGAAACUGCCUGAUGGAGGGGGAUAACUACUGGAAACGGUAGCUAAUACCGCAUACCAUCGGAUGUGCCCAGAUGGGAUUAGCUAGUAGGUGGGGUAAAGGCUCACCUAGGCGACGAUCCCUAGCUGGUCUGAGAGGAGGACCAGCCACACUGGAACUGAUCCACGGUCCAGACUCCUACGGGAGGCAGCAGUGGGGAAUAUUGGACAAUGGGCGCAAUCCUGAGGCAGCCAUGCCGCGUGUAUGAAGAAGGCCUGCGGGUUGUAAAGUACUUGCGGCGGUGAGGCGUUACCCGCAGAAGAAGCACCGGCUAACUCCGUGCCAGCAGCCGCGGUAAUAC